CAGGACAGGAAGGGGCCGCCGCCAGGGCCGGGCCCCCCACUCCACGGCAUGCGUGGGGCUCCGAGCACGUGGUCCGCGCAGGAAAUCGCUGCGGUGGGGAGCGGUCCGUAAUUCUCCUGCGGGCUGGCGGGAUCUCGGACCCUCAUUGGGGAGGCUGGGGGUCGGGCUGUGGCGCAGCGGGCAGAGCCGGUUGCCAAUGAGGGCUUAAUAAGGCCCGGGCUGAGAAGGGAACGACGGGAUGACGGAGGGAGGUUGGGAGGCAGCCUCCUUCCCCUCCGCCAGGUUUCCUUCUCUGCAAUCUGCGCGAAGAAGUCAAUCGAGAAACGGCCAAAGUUCGUCUUCACAUCCGAGGAGGAAGGGAGGAGGAAGGGAUGCAGGACUAGGAGCACAGGUCAAUUCACAGAUGCGCGCGGCGGGACAGGGGCCCAAGAGGAAUUGGGACGCCGGGGGGUCUCGUUCACAUCAGAAGCGCCUGCACCCCAAGGAUAGACAUUUUUCCGAACCCACCCUGCUGUCUGAGCUAGAGAGACGGGCUGCAAGCGGGGCUGGCAGGCCCCGGGGUCGGAUGGGGCGCCCCCAUCUGGAGGAUCCAGGCCGGCGGGCUGAACCCGGGAAACUCCCCCAGUGCGGCCAGGGACGCGUCCGCGGUGGUGACGACCACAGGCACCUACUGGGCCGCAGGCGUCGAUCUCCGCUGAGCCUUCCUCCCAUCCCACCCAUCUCAGGUCCCCAAAGUCCGCAACACCAGCCCGGGCUAGAAAGCCAAGGGGUCUGGGCGUCCCGCCAGCGCGCGUUCCCCUUCACCUGUACAGGGGUCAAGCUAUAA
rnacentral:lncRNA from 1 species